AGAGGUGACCCUUCUUUUGGGGCGGGCUGGAGUUUUCUAGCCGUGAAUGGCAGAGCGCUAAUGGCCGCCUCCAAUGUGGUCCAAUCAGAAAGAAAGGAAGUCUGGGAACUAAGAGGCUAUUGGUUGGUGAUUCCUGGACCAAUCGGAGGAGCCGUGAUUUGGCGCGAGUCUUGAUCGCCACCGGGGCUCUUAGUACCUCAGCGCCAGCGCCAGGCGUCCGGCCGUCGUGGCUAUGUUCGUGUCCGAUUUCCGCAAAGAGUUCUACGAGGUGGUCCAGAGCCAGAGGGUCCUUCUCUUCGUGGCCUCGGACGUGGAUGCUCUGUGUGCGUACAAGAUCCUUCAGGCCUUGUUCCAGUGUGACCACGUGCAGUAUACGCUGGUUCCAGUUUCUGGGUGGCAAGAACUUGAAACUGCAUUUCUUGAGCACAAAGAACAGUUUCGUUAUUUUAUUCUCAUAAACUGUGGAGCUAAUGUAGACCUGUUGGAUAUUCUUCAACCUGAUGAAGACACUAUAUUCUUUGUGUGUGACACCCAUAGGCCAGUCAAUGUCAUCAAUGUGUACAACAAUACCCAGAUCAAAUUACUCAUUAAACAAGAUGAUGACCUUGAAGUUCCUGCCUAUGAAGACAUCUUCAGGGAUGAAGAGGAGGAUGAAGAGCAUUCAGGAAAUGACAGUGAUGGGUCAGAGCCUUCUGAGAAGCGCACACGGUUAGAAGAGGAGAUAGUGGAGCAAACCAUGCGGAGGAGGCAGCGGCGAGAGUGGGAGGCCCGGAGAAGAGACAUCCUCUUCGACUACGAACAGUAUGAAUAUCAUGGGACAUCAUCAGCCAUGGUGAUGUUUGAGCUGGCAUGGAUGCUGUCUAAGGACCUGAAUGACAUGCUGUGGUGGGCCAUCGUUGGACUAACGGACCAGUGGGUGCAAGACAAGAUCACUCAAAUGAAAUACGUGACUGAUGUCGGUGUCCUGCAGCGCCACGUUUCCCGCCACAACCACCGGAACGAGGAUGGGGAGAACACGCUCUCCGUGGACUGCACGCGGAUCUCCUUUGAGUAUGACCUCCGCCUGGCGCUCUACCAGCACUGGUCCCUCCAUGACAGCCUAUGCAACACCAGCUAUACCGCAGCCAGGUUCAAGCUGUGGUCUGUGCACGGACAGAAACGGCUCCAGGAGUUCCUCGCAGACAUGGGUCUUCCCCUGAAGCAGGUGAAGCAGAAGUUCCAGGCCAUGGACAUCUCCUUGAAGGAGAAUUUGCGGGAAAUGAUUGAAGAGUCUGCAAAUAAAUUUGGGAUGAAGGACAUGCGCAUGCAGACUUUCAGCAUUCAUUUUGGGUUCAAGCACAAGUUCCUGGCCAGCGACGUGGUCUUUGCCACCAUGUCUUUGAUGGAGAGCCCCGAGAAGGAUGGCUCAGGGACAGAUCACUUCAUCCAGGCUCUGGACAGCCUCUCCAGGAGUAACCUGGACAAGCUCUACCAUGGCCUGGAACUCGCCAAGAAGCAGCUGCGAGCCACCCAGCAGACCAUUGCCAGCUGCCUUUGCACCAACCUCGUCAUCUCCCAGGGGCCUUUCCUGUACUGCUCCCUCAUGGAGGGCACUCCAGAUGUCAUGCUGUUCUCCAGGCCGGCGUCCCUGAGCCUGCUCAGCAAACACCUGCUCAAGUCCUUUGUGUGUUCGACAAAGAACAGGCGCUGCAAGCUGCUGCCUCUGGUGAUGGCUGCCCCCCUGAGCGUGGAGCAUGGCACAGUGACCGUGGUGGGCAUCCCCCCGGAGACCGACAGCUCGGACAGGAAGAACUUUUUUGGGCGGGCAUUUGAGAAGGCAGCAGAAAGCACCAGCUCCCGGAUGCUGCACAACCAUUUUGACCUCUCAGUAAUUGAGCUGAAAGCUGAGGAUCGGAGCAAGUUUCUGGAUGCACUGGUUUCCCUCCUAUCCUAGGGUGAGUUACAGGGGUUCUGCAGGGGCAGCUGCAGCGGCCCCCUUAGAGCCCGACCCUGAUGCCCUGCUCUGUCCUCCCUCAACGGAGGCUUUUACUUGGGUUUCAGACCAAAGCAGGGUUCUUGAGGAGAUUGGAGCCAACACAUUUUUCCCAAGCACAUCUGUCCUUAGGCUGCCAGCAGGGCCACAAUGGGGCAUUUUGAGGUAGCUAAUUCCAUUAAGCCCCUGCAAUCCCUUCAGAAAGAGCUGGUAUUCACCCUCUGCUGACUGCACUCUGGGGCUGGGCAUCCCGUGUGACACAUGUCACACACAGACUCCCUGGUGCUGCCCUCGGAGGCUACCUGGAGCCUCCUGUCCCACAGCCUUCAUGUCAAGCGCUGGGCAAGAGCCCACAGAGCAGGCAUGCAGCCUUUUGUGUGCUUGGCUCAUGAGAAAGCAAAGCUGUUGGCAGCCACUCAGCUGGGAAUUCCAAAGUGCCGGUUCUGCUGGGGCCUUCACCAGCACACAGCUGUCCUGGGGCCCCGAUGGGAUUCACUGGCAGGUCACUGACCCGGGACACCUCCCACUGCCCCAUGUACUACCUCUUUCUUAAGGGUUCCCAGGAAAUAGGCCUGCCUUGUGUCUUUGUGACCAUCUCUCAGCCCAGGUUCCCCACAGGGAAUGCCACAUCCAGCCCUGCAUCUUCCGGAGCCCUAGCCUGUGGCUGCGGCUGUGGCAGAAGGGCCCUGCCAAAGCUCUGUUGUAGGAGGUCCUUCAGGCCAGGCCUGGGGUCCUCCCCACUCUCCCACCCAUCCGUCCGUCUGUCCAUCCCUCCAGGGGCAAGCACUUGUUCUGUUGGGGCUGGAGCGGGGGUGUUCGACUGACAACAGCAUAGGGGGCCUCAGGGACCCCACAGUUCCUCUCAGGGUGGCCUGGACUACACAGGGCCCAUGUUAGGAGAGGGGCUCUGGGUCAGACCCUCGGGGUUUUUGGCAAGUUCUGUAGGCUCAUCAGCAGUGACCUUGGACCAGCCACCUAAUCAGACUGAGCCUGUUUCCUCAUCCAAAAAUGGGGCCCACUCUCUCCUUAGACGAUGAAUAAUUUGAUUUCUUCAGGAAUGACCUCCUUAUUUAUAUGACUGGCUUUCAUUUAGAUUUUAAGUUAUGUACAUGAUUUGAGAUGUAGAAGCCAUUUUUUAUUAAAUAAAAUGCUUAUUUUAGG